ensembl:lncRNA
AGCAUACUCCCUGCUUUUCCUACUAUGACACCUGAAGAACUUUCCACCAAAGCCCAGUUCAGGCAGUCUAGCUCAGCCAGAAGAAUACUGGAGAAUACACUGUUCUUUCCUGUGGUGACAAUGUGUCCAGCGUGCCCAAGAGAAGUCACUGAUGAGAAGGCCUGGUGAGUUCCUGCAAUCUUCUUGAAAGAGAUGUGUUGCAGUUGUGGGAAGUAGAUAUGAUGAAGUCUUGUCCUAAUUACGUUAACAGGAGUAUUGUCAUAAACUUCAGUGGAUUUAAGCUUUUGUUACAGAGAACUUGCCAGAAAAUUCCGAUACUCACUGGUAUUUUUCUGCUCCAGGAUGAAAAUUAGGUACAGCACAUAUUUCAUCCAGUAGUGUGCAGCUGUCACCAUGGAAACCCUGUUGAAAAGAGUGUGAAAACUUUUACAGUAUUGGCUGGAUUCACAGGGCACCCCCAACAAAGAUGGAAGCAUGGGUAUUGAAAGUUACAUAUGGAGAGGAGUGCAUUAGCAGGAUACAGCCUAGUCACAAUCUCCUUUCCACAAACCCCUUUCCAUUGACUGUGUUUCCAUUUCUUCCACUGGUCAACUGGAUUUUCCCCUUCACUUGCUGUGAAAGAAGUAAGAGUCGGAGAAAUGUAAAACAGCCUUAAAAGCUCCCUAUCUGAUCAAAGGAAAUUCCCCCAGCGCAGGCCAGGCAGAGACUGCCAAAGGCUUUGCUCCGGUUACUUUUUAACAAGCCACUGCAGAAUGGGCUGAGUUAAUUUUUCAGGCUGCUGUAUGGCACAAAGGCAACAACCUGGACAAAAUCUGCUGGAUUCAUCUCCUAUAGCAGUUCAGUACUAGGAGAAUGACAAGAUUGCUUAAAGGCAACCCAUCCUGAGACAUGCUAGCUUCAUACAACACUGGAUCUUCCAUCAGUUUCUGUAGGACUCAGGAUAUGCUUGAACCAUUUCAAAUGCAAGCUGACUGUCUGCAGAUUAGCUACC